AGCUGCCGGCGUUGCCCUCUCCCAAGAUGGCGGCCAGGUCGCCUGCUCGGGCCUCCCAGGCGACUUUGCCCCACUGCGCCCGCGCUCUCUUCUCCUUUCCAUUUCUGGACCAAGGGGCUGCCAUAAGGAGUCUGUGACUAGAGAUGGGAGGUGGUGGCCACGGCCUCUCGCUGUAUGCUGUGUGGAAGGUCGAAUCAUCAUCAUCAUAAAACUUAAUAUUGCCCUUAUGUGCCAGGAACUACUAUCUCAGCAAUGGAGAUGUGGUGCUUGGCCGCAAUCGUGAAUCGGCCCUGGAGGGGACACAGGAAGGGGCUGCCUGCGACUCAUGACCUCCUGCGUGCCUGCCUGCUGACCUAUGACCCUUCAAGUUCCCACCCCUCAGCCACGCCUGUGAGGAGGGUCUUGUUUUGUCGCCUACGCUGGAGUGCAGUGGUGUGAUCACAGCUCACUGCAGCCUCAACUUCCUGGACUCAAGCGAUUUUCCUGCCUCAACCUCCCAAGAACUAGGACCCCAGAUCCCCAUGGACAAGGCACUUGCAUGAAUUGUGAGGCUCAUGGAGUUGGGGUCGGACAACACAGAGCCGGCUCCCUCCAGGAGCUGCAUGUCCAGAGAGGGAAACAGGAUGUGGACAGCAAGAAUGAAUACAUGCAGACCA
rnacentral:lncRNA from 1 species